rnacentral:rRNA from 1 species
AGUGAACGCUGGCGGUAGACCUAACACAUGCAAGUCGAACGGCAGCACAGUAAGAGCUUGCUCUUACGGGUGGCGAGUGGCGGACGGGUGAGGAAUACAUCGGAAUCUACUUUUUCGUGGGGGAUAACGUAGGGAAACUUACGCUAAUACCGCAUACGACCUACGGGUGAAAGCAGGGGAUCUUCGGACCUUGCGCGAUUGAAUUAGCCGAUGUCGGAUUAGCUAGUUGGCGGGGUAAAGGCCCACCAAGGCGACGAUCCGUAGCUGGUCUGAGAGGAUGAUCAGCCACACUGGAACUGAGACACGGUCCAGACUCCUACGGGAGGCAGCAGUGGGGAAUAUUGGACAAUGGGCGCAAGCCUGAUCCAGCCAUACCGCGUGGGUGAAGAAGGCCUUCGGGUUGUAAAGCCCUUUUGUUGGGAAAGAAAAGCAGCAGGUUAAUACCCCGCUGUUCUGACGGUACCCAAAGAAUAAGCACCGGCUAACUUCGUG